rnacentral:tRNA from 1 species
CUCAGCUGGGAGAGCACCUGCUUUGCAAGCAGGGGGUCGUCGGU